AAAGAAAUAUAAAAUGUAUUUCAGUGUUUGCCCCAGUGUAUUGCAAGCCCGGUGGCCCACCAGGCCUCAGUUGCCCCCCAUCAGGCCUAAGCUGGAAAUUAUUUUGGUGUGUAUUUUUU